rnacentral:rRNA from 1 species
UACGGAGGGUGCAAGCGUUAUCCGGAUUCACUGGGUUUAAAGGGUGCGUAGGCGGGCAUGUAAGUCAGUGGUGAAAAUCUUCAAGCUUAACUUGGAAACUGCCAUUGAUACUAUGUGUCUUGAAUGUUCUGGAGGUUUAGCGGAAUAUGUCAUGUAGCGGUGAAAAUGCUUAGAUAUGACAUAGAACACCUAUUGCGAAGGCAGCUAACUACGGAAAUAAUUGACGCUGAGGCACGAAAAGCGUGGGGAUCAAAACAGG